rnacentral:rRNA from 1 species
UACGUAGGCAGCGAGCGUUGUUCGGAAUUACUGGGCGUAAAGAGUGUGUAGGCGGUGCUCCCAGUCUGUUGUGAAAUCUCCCGGCUUAACUGGGAGGGUGCAGCGGAAACUAGAGUGCUAGAGGGUGGGAGAGGUAAGCGGAAUUCCUGGUGUAGCGGUGAAAUGCGUAGAGAUGCGGAGGAACACCGAUGGCGAAGGCAGCCCCCUGGGCUAACACUGACGCUCAGGCACGAAAGCGUGGGGAGCAAACAGG